rnacentral:tRNA from 1 species
GCCUGGCUAGCUUAGUGAGUAGAGCAUGAAACUCUUGGUCUCGGGGUUGUGAGUUCAAGCCCCACGUUGGGUU